CCUACGUGGGGCAGCAGUGAUGAAUAUUGGUCAAUGGGCGCGAGCCUGAACCAGCCAAGUAGCGUGAAGGAUGACUGCCCUACGGGUUGUAAACUUCUUUUAUAAAGGAAUAAAGUGAGGCACGUGUGCCUUUUUGUAUGUACUUUAUGAAUAAGGCUCGGCUAACUCCGUGCCAGCAUCCGCGGUAAUACGGGGUAUCCGAGCGUUAUCCGGAUUUAUUGGGUUUAAAGGGAGCGUAGAUGGGUUGUUAAGUCCGUUGUGAAAGUUUGCGGCUCAACCGUAAAAUUGCAAUUGAUACUGGCAGUCUUGAGUACAGGUGAGGUAGGCGGAAUUCGUGGUGUAGCGGUGAAAUGCUUAGAUAUCACGAAGAACUCCGAUUGCGAAGGCAGCUUACUAAACUGCCACUGACAUUGAUGCUCGAAAGUGUGGGUAUCAAACAGGAUUAGAUACCCUUGUAGUC
rnacentral:rRNA from 1 species